AGGUAGCAUAAUCAUUAGUCUUUUAAUUGAAGGCUGGUAUGAACGGUUGGACGAGGUAUAAGCUGUUUCAUAUAAAUUUAUAAUAGAAUUUUAUAUUUUAGUUAAAAAGCUAAAAUAUUAUUAAAAGACGAGAAGACCCUAUAAAUCUUUAUAUUUUUUUUUAUUUAGAUUUUUUAGAUAUAGUUUAUUUUUAUAAAAAAAGAUAUUUUGUUGGGGUGAUAUUAAAAUUUAAUAAACUUUUAAUUUAUUAAUUACAUUAAUUUAUGUUUUAUUGAUCCAUUAAUAUUGAUUAUAAGAUUAAGU
rnacentral:rRNA from 1 species